rnacentral:rRNA from 1 species
UACGUAGGGGGCAAGCGUUGUCCGGAAUUAUUGGGCGUAAAGAGCGCGUAGGCGGUCCGGUAAGUCGGUUGUGAAAGUCGGGGGCUCAACCCUCGGAUGCCGAUCGAUACUGUCGGGCUAGAGUCCGGAAGAGGCGAGUGGAAUUCCUGGUGUAGCGGUGAAAUGCGCAGAUAUCAGGAGGAACACCAAUGGCGAAGGCGGCCAGCUAGACCAGUUCUGACACUGAGGCGCGACAGCGUGGGGAGCAAACAGG